rnacentral:rRNA from 1 species
AGCUGGUCUGAGAGGAUGGCCAGCCACAUUGGGACUGAGAGACGGCCCAGACUCCUACGGGAGGCAGCAGUGGGGAAUCUUGCGCAAUGGCCGAAAGGCUGACGCAGCGACGCCGCGUGUGGGAGGACGCCCUUCGGGGUGUAAACCACUGUUGCCCGGGACGAAACUCCUUUUUCGAGAGGACUGACGGUACCGGGUGAGGAAGCACCGGCUAACUCCGUGCCAGCAGCCGCGGUAAUACGGAGGGUGCGAGCGUUGUCCGGAAUCACUGGGCGUAAAGGGCGCGUAGGUGGCAAGGCAAGCGUGCGGUGAAAGCCCGGGGCUCAACUCCGGGUCGGCCGUGCGAACUGCCGUGCUCGAGCAUGGUAGAGGCAGGUGGAAUUCCGGGUGUAGCGGUGGAAUGCGUAGAGAUCCGGAAGAACACCGGUGGCGAAGGCGGCCUGCUGGGCCAUGGCUGACACUGAGGCGCGACAGCGUGGGGAGCAAACAGGAUUAGAUACCCUGGUAGUCCACGCCGUAAACGAUGGGCACUAGGUGCUUGGGGGAGCGACCCCCUGGGUGCCGGCGCUAACGCAUGAAGUGCCCCGCCUGGGGAGUACGGCCGCAAGGCUGAAACUCAAAGGAAUUGACGGGGGCCCGCACAAGCGGUGGAGCAUGUGGU